AGGACAGCGGCCACUUGUUCCCCGUCAGAGCUCACAAAGGACGAUUGCUCCAGGCCCCGGGCAGCUGGCGGGAGGGCGUCAGGUGCCAAAAUCCGGCGCCUGCCACCUGGCAUUCUUGGGAACUGGCCUUUUAAGGAGACGGGCCUUGUGAGGAGAUGGCCUGUCCCCCCAACCCCCAGCUGCCUCUGGGGGUCAGCUCUGCCCUCUGGGGGUCGGUUCUGCCCUCUGGGGGCAGAGGGCGAGGUCCUGACACCCCCGGCCUUGCCUGGUAGAGCCGGGAGCCGGGCCCUGCAGGCCGGGGUGGAAGCGCCUGCCCUGUGCUGCCCACCUGCCAGCAGCCAGGACAGCCCUGGGAAAACGGACGCCACCACCCUCUCCAGGCCCGGAGCUGAGCCCCGUCACAUCCCUGUCCCCGCUCCUCCCCCAGAGCCCUCCUGGGCCACCCAGCUGGAGGGGACACGGCGGCUCCCUGGCCCCCACAGCCUGCGCAGCGUGAGCUCCGGGGCGGUCACCUCGCACGCGUGUGGUCUGCGGAGGCGCCCUCAGCCCCAGGAGGGAAGCGUCCUCGGCUCACUGGCCUGUCGCCCCCACCCCAGGGCAUUCUGGGAAGAACGGCUGCUCCUCUCCAAGGCCAGAGGUCACGCGGUCUUGCUGUGCUGUGCUCCCAGGGCCCCAGAGCAGCCGGCCGACCGCCUUGUCUGUCCCUCUCGGUGUUGGGUGUUUGGCAGGAAACGCGCCUCCCAUGGCAACACGGAAAGCCAUGGCGCUCACAGAGAACCAGAUUCCCUGACUCCAAGGCGCCAGCAGCGGGGCCCCGGCCACAGUGCCCAGAGCAGCGACUGCUGGAGCCAGGUCCCGGCUGCCCUGAGAUGGGCUUGUUCUCUCCACCGCGCCUGCCGCAGUCUCCCCCUCCCCAGUGCCCCCGACGGAGGCCCAGGCUCUGUGCCCCACGCUGCGGCUGUGCUGUCCACAUGUGCUGUGCUGUGCGACCCUGGGCAAGCGCCUCUGCCGUCCUGGGCCUGCUCCCCCUGA
rnacentral:lncRNA from 1 species